rnacentral:rRNA from 1 species
AAGGGGUGGGCAAGUUCUGGUGUCAGCCGCCGCGGUAAAACCAGCACCUCGAGUGGUCAGGAGGUUUAUGGGCCUAAAGCAUCCNNANNNGGUUGCAUAAGUUUNCGGUUAAAUCUAUGCGCUUAACGUAUAGGCCGCCGAAAAUACUGUGCAGCUAGGGAGUGGGAGAGGUACACGGUACUCGAUAGGAAGGGGUAAAAUCCUUUGAUCUAUUGAUGACCACCUGUGGCGAAGGCGGUGUACCAGAACACGUUCGACGGUGAGGGAUGAAAGCUGGGGGAGCAAACCGGAUUAGAUACCCGGGUAGUCCCAGCUGUAAACGAUGCAGACUCGGUGAUGCAUUGGCUUGUGGCCAAUGCAGUGCCGCAGGGAAGCCGUUAAGUCUGCCGCCUGGGAAGUACGUACGCAAGUAUGAAACUUAAAGGAAUUGGCGGGGGAGCACCACAA